UGAGGAAUUUUGCGCAAUGGGGGAAACCCUGACGCAGCGACGCCGCGUGGACGAAGAAGGCCUUCGGGUUGUAAAGUCCUGUCAGUGGGAACGAUAAUGACGGUACCCGCUGAGGAAGCUCCGGCUGACUCCGUGCCAGCAGCCGCGGUAAGACGGAGGGAGCAAGCGUUGUCCGGAAUAACUGGGCGUAAAGGGCUCGUAGGCGGGGUUUUAAGUCCGGGAGUAAAUUCAUUGGCUUAACUGAUGAGUCAUCCUGGAUACUGGAACUCUUGAGGACGGAAGAGGAAAGGGGAAUUCCUGGUGUAGCGGUGAAAUGCGUAGAUAUCAGGAGGAACACCUGUGGCGAAGGCGCCUUUCUGGUCCGGUUCUGACGCUGAGGAGCGAAAGCCAGGGGAGCGAACG
rnacentral:rRNA from 1 species